rnacentral:rRNA from 1 species
UACCAGCACCCCGAGUGGUCGGGACGAUUAUUGGGCCUAAAGCAUCCGUAGCCGGUUUUACAAGUCCUCCGUUAAAUCCAGCUGCUUAACAGAUGGGCUGCGGAGGAUACUAUAAGACUAGGAGGCAGGAGAGGCAAGCGGUACUCAGUGGGUAGGGGUAAAAUCCGUUGAUCCGUUGAAGACCACCAGUGGCGAAGGCGGCUUGCCAGAAUGCGCUCGACGGUGAGGGAUGAAAGCUGGGGGAGCAAACCGG